rnacentral:rRNA from 1 species
CCUACGGGUGACAGCAGUCGAGAAUCUUUCACAAUGGGGGAAACCCUGAUGGUGCGACGCCGCGUGGGGGAAUGAAGGUCUUCGGAUUGUAAACCCCUGUCAUGUGGGAGCAAAUUAAAAAGAUAGUACCACAAGAGGAAGAGACGGCUAACUCUGGGCCAGCAGCCGCGGUAAUACAGAGGUCUCAAGCGUUGUUCGGAAUCACUGGGCGUAAAGCGUGCGUAGGCUGUUUCGUAAGUCGUGUGUGAAAGGCGCGGGCUCAACCCGCGGACGGCACAUGAUACUGCGAGACUAGAGUGAUGGAGAGGGAAGCGGAAUGCGCGGUGUAGCAGUGAAAUGCGUAGAUAUCGAGAGGAACACUCGUGGCGAAGGCGGGUUCCUGGACAUUAACUGACGCUGAGGCACGAAGGCGAGGGGAGCGAAAGGGAUUAGAUACCCGAGUAGUC